GCCCUCCUGGGCGCCCCCUCCGGGAGGGCACGGUCUCGCGGAGCGUCGGGAGAGCGGAAACUCAAAAUCGGGCCCCGACGGCUGACUGAAGUGACAGGACAGACAGAGGACGUGGCAGCAAGACGCGAGGAAGACGCUACGUGGAAAGUUCGAGCGAUGAAACUCUCUGGGUUCCAAGUGAUGAGAACUCGCCUCGCGCCAGAAAACAGAUGGAGUCUUCCAGCAGAGGAGUAAGUGAUCAAAUCUUACUUCCUGCUUUCUGGAACCAACUGUGUCAGAUGGAAUUCUCCAGGAAACAGACAUCAAGACAGAGUUGGACGCACAGAGAGACAUGUGGAAGGAAUACUGGAUCAGGAGCAUGGACUCAGUUCGCAGAGCCACAAGCCGGAAAUCUGAGUUGGGCAUGCAGGCCCACCCCAUGCACCCACUUGCAGUGCGCAUCUAAACAAGAGAAGAGAGAAAGGGUCUGAGGCCUACCUGCAACCUGCUCUUCUUCUCCCCUCCCAUCCCCAGUGACUGGAGAGGUUUGGUCGGGGGUAUUGUUCAGAUCUUAUUGGCUGAAUUUAGUCACACCUGUGUGAUACCAUGUCGCUGAUGCCUAGUCUGUGCACCCAGGUAGACCUCCCACCUUGAUCUAGGUGACUUGGGUCUGAGCAUGCUCACUUCUGGAUUUUCCUAUGUGCUUAAUUAGGGUGCCUGAUUUUUUUUCCAACCCCUUUAUUGUGGCUCUGCCAGCCGAGUUCCUCUAGAGCAGGCAUACAGGAAGACAACUCCCCUUUAUCACUAAUCUAGCGACCUGUCUGUAUCAUUGUAUAUCUUGUGCAACCUGUAGAUCUUGGGACCCUGGAGGGGUACAGGAACUUCAGCUACCAGAUGCCCAAGUGCUGAAGAAGGUAGCCAUUAUUAGAAACCAGCUGGAAGCAAUGUACCCCCGUCCCGCCCAGUCAGAGAAAUGCUAGUGAGCCCCAAAGGAACUCACAGAAUACCGCCCCCCCCCCUACCCGUGACAAUGAGAGCCAGACUCAAAUGCCUGCCUCUACUGUGUUUUGUGAGAGAUCAGAAGCCUUGGCCAACCCUAGAUUGUGUCCAGGAGCAAGGAAAUAACUAACCAUGCAGAAUAAAUGUCAGGAGUCAGUAGAAGACAAAAACUCAAGUGUUUUAAAAUGAUGUCUCAAAUAUGGUGUUUGUCCAACAUGUUGGUUAUAUGUGGAAUGCAUGCAAAAUGAUUAAACUGGAAGAAUAUUCAUCAUCAGAGAUAAAUGCUAAAACAAACGUUGAAGGAAAAAAAGCAAUUUGUUGCAGAACUAGCAUAGGAUGGUACCAUUUACUUAAAGUUUGAAUACAUGCAAAAUAACACCACAUGCUACAUAUUUUGUUAUAUACAAAACAAUUUUAAAAUACCAUGUGUUAUUUUUGUAUGCUCUGUAGUAAUGUUAUA